rnacentral:rRNA from 1 species
UACGAAGGGUGCAAACGUUGCUCGGAAUUAUUGGGCGUAAAGCGCACGUAGGCGGCUCGGCAAGUCGGAUGUGAAAUCCCUCGGCUCAACCAAGGAAGUGCAUCCGAAACUGCAGAGCUUGAGUACUUAAGAGGAUCGCGGAAUUCCCGGUGUAGAGGUGAAAUUCGUAGAUAUCGGGAGGAACACCAGUGGCGAAGGCGGCGAGCUGGGAAGAUACUGACGCUGAGGUGCGAAAGCGUGGGGAGCAAACAGG